GCAGGCUGAAAUUCGCCUGCAUGAAGCCGGAAUUGCUAGUAAUGGCAGGUCAGCAUACUGCCGUGAAUACGUUCCCGGGCCUUGUACACACCGCCCGUCACACCAUGAGAGUUGGGGAUACCCAAAGCCCGUGAGCCAACUUUUAAAGAGGCAGCGGUCUAAGGUAGAAUCAAUGAUUGGGGUGAAGUCGUAACAAGGUAAC
rnacentral:rRNA from 1 species